UACUGGCUAACUGGGCUAUAUAAUCUCGCGGUUUGUGUUCUGUGUAGCUAAAGGUCACUCGUUUAGGUGUGUGUGAUCUUUAGUCCAGAUUACUAAUUGAGAUUUAUGUUCAAGUAACUCGGCACACUUGAAAAGGUGUGGCCUGUAGCCCAACCACGUGAUAAAGAUUUUUCUCCAAAUAAGCAAACUUUUUGUCCGGAAACCCGUGUAGAUGUUUGGCUUGAAGUAUUGUCCCCUCCCCCCCCCCCCCCCCCCCCCCCCA